GCCUGGGUGGCUCAGUCGGUUAAGCGUCCGACUUCAGCUCAGGUCAUGAUCUCACGGUUUGUGGGUUUGAGCCCCACAUCGGGCU
rnacentral:tRNA from 1 species